CAUAGCGAUGGGUUUGGUUCUGGACACUAAAGAAUUUGGUGGCGAUGGUAGUCCAAUUAUUCUAUCAGACAUAACUGGAUCUGAAGAUGCCUCUGGAGAUAUGGAUUUUAAGGUCGCAGGAAAUGAAGAUGGUGUAACUGCUUUUCAGAUGGACAUUAAGGUGGCUGGAAUUACUUUACCUAUUAUGAGAAAAGCACUUCUACAAGCGAAGGAUGGCCGGAAGCAUAUCCUUG